CUACGGGCCGCUGCAUUGAGGAAUAUUGCACAAUGGGGGGAACCCUGAUGCAGCAACGCCGCGUGGAGGAUGACGCAUUUCGGUGUGUAAACUCCUUUUAUAUGUCAAGAAAAUGACGGUAGCAUAUGAAUAAGCACCGGCUAACUCCGUGCCAGCAGCCGCGGUAAUACGGAGGGUGCAAGCGUUACUCGGAAUCACUGGGCGUAAAGGACGCGUAGGCGGGUUGGAAAGUCAGGUGUGAAAUCCUACAGCUUGACUGUAGAACUGCACUUGAAACUUCUAAUCUAGAGUAUGGGAGGGGGAGAUGGAAUUAGUGGUGUAGGGGUAAAAUCCGUAGAUAUCACUAGGAAUACCUAAAGCGAAGGCGAUCUCCUGGAACAUUACUGACGCUAAGGCGUGAAAGCGUGGGGAGCAAACAGGAUUAGAUACCCUUGUAGUC
rnacentral:rRNA from 1 species